UGGGGAAUUUUGGACAAUGGGCGCAGGCCUGAUCCAGCAAUGCCGCGUGCAGGAUGAAGGCCUUCGGGUUGUAAACUGCUUUUGUACGGAGCGAAAAGGUCUGCCCUAAUACGGUGGGCUCAUGACGGUACCGUAAGAAUAAGCACCGGCUAACUACGUGCCAGCAGCCGCGGUAAUACGUAGGGUGCAAGCGUUAAUCGGAAUUACUGGGCGUAAAGCGUGCGCAGGCGGUUAUGCAAGACAGAGGUGAAAUUCCCGGGCUCAACCUGGGAACUGCAUUUGUGACUGCAUAGCUGGAGUGCGGCAGAGGGGGAUAGAAUUCCGCGUGGAGCAGUGAAGUGCGUAGAUAUGCGGAGGAACACCGAUGGCGAAGGCAAUCCCCUGGGCCUGCACUGACGCUCAUGCACGAAAGCGUGGGGAGCAAACA
rnacentral:rRNA from 1 species